AGUUCAGUUAAAACAAUUUUUUCGAGACUCAUCUAUAUAAACUUCGUUAAUUUGAUAAGUUUUUUCAAGAUUUUUUUGAUUUCUUUUUCUUUUAAAGUUCUCCUUUCUUUUUUAAGCUAUUUUUAAUUAAAUAUUUCAAUUAAUAAUUUAAGUUAGUAUUUUUAUGUAAUAUAUAAAUAUAAAAAAACUGAUCUUAUUAACCACUGCAUGAUUCUCGAAUUAUUAAUUGACUUAUUUAAAAAUGAUAAAAUAUAAAAAAGUGAUAAAAUAUACAUAUAAAUUAAUAUUACUAACAUAUUAUAAUUUCAUUUUAAUUAUUAAAAUAAUCAAUUCUUAAAGGUCUGAAAAAUACAAAGGUCCUUUAGCAAAUUCGUUUAAAAAGUGAGAGAGAUGUAAACAGGAAUUCGAAGUGGAACGCUCUCGCUGAAAAACGAACAUAGAUUAAUAACAAUGAAUUGAAAGACUUGUUUUAGAAAUAUACGUGUAUGUAUUUUAAAUAUUUUAAAUUUAAGAAAUAGCAGUUUCCUUUUUAUUUAAAUUAAAAAUAUAAAACUUUUUAUUUUCGAUUAUUAUUCAGAUAAGUAUUCAGAUAAUUAUUCGUAUAAGUAUAGUUAAUGAUUAUGAAGAUAUAGCUCGAAAAUUAAAUGCAGCUUUAGCAGUAAAAUAAACGAAUAGAAGAAACAUUUUAUUAUAUUAUUUGUAUUCUUUUUUUUAUUAUUUUAUUUCUAUACAAAUACAUACAAUGUAUAUAUAAAUUUUUGUCUGAAGAAAUGUGUUGACAAGCAUACAAAUUAUGAAAAUAUUCAAGAAAGCAAUCAUAGAAAGCAAUUAGAAAGAAGUAUAUGAAUGGUAUGUAAAUAAAACUUUCAUAAACAAACAAUAAGAUAUUCAACAAUUAA